AUUGAACGCUGGCGGCAUGCCUUACACAUGCAAGUCGAACGGCAGCACGGGCUUCGGUCUGGUGGCGAGUGGCGAACGGGUGAGUAAUGUAUCGGAACGUACCUUUCAGUGGGGGAUAACGUAGCGAAAGUUACGCUAAUACCGCAUAUUCUGUGAGCAGGAAAGCAGGGGAUCGCAAGACCUUGCGCUGAUUGAGCGGCCGAUGUCAGAUUAGCUAGUUGGUGAGGUAAAGGCUCACCAAGGCGACGAUCUGUAGCGGGUCUGAGAGGAUGAUCCGCCAAACUGGAACUGAGACACGGUCCAGACUCCUACGGGAGGCAGCAGUGGGGAAUUUUGGACAAUGGGGGCAACCCUGAUCCAGCCAUGCCGCGUGAGUGAAGAAGGCCUUCGGGUUGUAAAGCUCUUUCGGCCGGGAAGAAAUCGCACGGGCUAAUACCCUGUGUGGAUGACGGUACCGGAAUAAGAAGCACCGGCUAACUACGUGCCAGCCGCCGCGGUAAAAC
rnacentral:rRNA from 1 species